rnacentral:rRNA from 1 species
UACGUAGGGUCCGAGCGUUGUCCGGAUUUACUGGGCGUAAAGAGCGCGCAGGCGGCUGGUCAAGUCCGAUGUGAAAGCUCCCGGCUUAACUGGGAAAUUGCAUCGGAAACUGAUCGGCUGGAAGGUGGGAGAGGGUAGCGGAAUUCCCGGUGUAGUGGUGAAAUGCGUAGAUAUCGGGAGGAACACCAGUGGCGAAAGCGGCUACCUGGCCCAUUCUUGACGCUGAGGCGCGAAAGCUAGGGGAGCAAACGGG